rnacentral:rRNA from 1 species
GAUGAACGCUGGCGGCGUGCUUAACACAUGCGAGUCGAACGAAGCAUUUAAGACAGAUUACUUCGGUUUGAAGUCUUUUAUGACUGAGUGGCGGACGGGUGAGUAACGCGUGGGUAACCUGCCUCAUACAGGGGGAUAGCAGCUGGAAACGGCUGGUAAUACCGCAUAAGCGCACAGUACCACAUGGUACAGUGUGAAAAACUCCGGUGGUAUGAGAUGGACCCGCGUCUGAUUAGCUUGUUGGCGGGGUAACGGCCCACCAAGGCGACGAUCAGUAGCCGACCUGAGAGGGUGACCGGCCACAUUGGGACUGAGACACGGCCCAGACUCCUACGGGAGGCAGCAGUGGGGAAUAUUGCACAAUGGAGGAAACUCUGAUGCAGCGACGCCGCGUGAGUGAAGAAGUAGUUCGCUAUGUAAAGCUCUAUCAGCAGGGAAGAUAGUGACGGUACCUGACUAAGAAGCUCCGGCUAAAUACGUG